rnacentral:rRNA from 1 species
AUUGAACGCUGGCGGCAUGCUUUACACAUGCAAGUCGAACGGUAACAGGCCUUCGGGUGCUGACGAGUGGCGAACGGGUGAGUAAUGCAUCGGAACGUACCCAGAGGUGGGGGAUAACGCAGCGAAAGCUGUGCUAAUACCGCAUGUGAUCUGAGGAUGAAAGCGGGGGACCGAGCAGCAAUGUUUGGCCUCGCGCCUUUGGAGCGGCCGAUGUCGGAUUAGCUAGUUGGUGGGGUAAAGGCCUACCAAGGCGACGAUCCGUAGCCGGUCUGAGAGGACGACCAGCCACACUGGGACUGAGACACGGCCCAGACUCCUACGGGGGGCAGCAGUGGGGAAUUUUGGACAAUGGGCGCAAGCCUGAUCCAGCAAUGCCGCGUGCGGGAAGAAGGCCUUCGGGUUGUAAACCGCUUUUGGCAGGAACGAAACGGUGUCCGCUAAUACCGGGCGCUAAUGACGGUACCUGCAGAAUAAGCACCGGCUAACUACGUG